rfam:Ovis aries breed Texel chromosome 14, whole genome shotgun sequence.
UAGCUUAGACUGUAAAGAAUCUGCCUGCAAUGCAGGAGACCCAGGUUCAAUCCCUGG